rnacentral:lncRNA from 1 species
AAUAAUGCAAAACCAACCAAGCAUCCUCAACAAGUCAUUUUGGCAGAGAUAAUAUAGAACGAAUACAGAGGUAGCAUUGGCAGAGAUAAAAACAGCUAAAACGUAGAAUUGAAUUAGCUUAAGAAUGGCGGAGAAGAAGCAAAACCAUCUCAAGGACAGCUAAGCACAGCACCAUCAUACUUGAACGGAUUUGACAGCAUUGGCAGCGUGGGCGUUUGAUAGCUUAGGCAAAGUUAGGGCUGGGUGUGUGUAUGACUGUGUGUGAGUGUGUCGUUUUGAUUGUGAAGGUUGAGGAUGAAGAGAAGGAGAAUUGGAUUUAGCAUUUUCGCGACCACUGCUUUGUGCUUU